UACGAAGGGGGCUAGCGUUGCUCGGAAUCACUGGGCGUAAAGGGCGCGUAGGCGGAUCUUUAAGUCGGGGGUGAAAGCCUGAGGCUCAACCUCAGAAUUGCCUUCGAUACUGGAGAUCUUGAGACCGGAAGAGGUAAGUGGAACUGCGAGUGUAGAGGUGAAAUUCGUAGAUAUUCGCAAGAACACCGAGGUCGGCAGGAG
rnacentral:rRNA from 1 species